rnacentral:rRNA from 1 species
UACGUAGGGUGCAAGCGUUUAAUUACGGGAAUUACUGGGCGUUAAAGACGUGCGCGAGGCGGAUUUUGUAACGGUCACGCAUGUGAAAUCCCCGGGCUUAACCUGGGAACUGCGUUUGAAACUACAAGGGCUAAGAGUGUGGCAGAGGGGGGUGGAAUUCCGACGUGUAGCAGUGAAAUGCGUAGAGAUGUGGAGGAACACCGAUGGCGAAGGCAGCCCCUGGGUUAACGAC